rnacentral:rRNA from 1 species
GAUCAUGGCUCAGAUUGAACGCUGGCGGCAGGCCUAACACAUGCAAGUCGAACGGUAACAGGAAACAGCUUGCUGUUUCGCUGACGAGUGGCGGACGGGUGAGUAAUGUCUGGGAAACUGCCUGAUGGAGGGGGGAUAACUACUGGAAACGGUAGCUAAUACCGCAUAACGUCGCAAGACCAAAGAGGGGGGACCUUCGGGCCUCUUGCCAUCGGAUGUGCCCAGAUGGGAUUAGCUAGUAGGUGGGGG